UAUGUACUCCCUCCGUCAGAAUUACUUGUCCAUUUACAUCUAUCAAUCAAAUAAAAAUGGAUGUAUCUAGACGUAUUUUAGUUCUAGAUGCAUCCAUUUUUGAGACAAGUAAUUCCGAAAGGAGGGAGUACGUG
rnacentral:pre_miRNA from 1 species